rnacentral:lncRNA from 1 species
GGGGUGAGUGACUUCAUAUGGUCAUGGAGAGGGACCUAGGUUUCUGGGGUUUGGGCCUUGGGUUCUAGGAACUGAGAAAGUGUUCUCCUAUUCCAUCACCACCUCUUCUUCCUCGAUUUCUUCUUCGACUCUAGAGCAUCUACGAGAUUCGAAGAAGACUUUAGAUCAGCCAUUAAUAGAAAAAGUCUGUAAGGGAGCUAGCACCCCGAGGACUUUGACAGAUCUC